rnacentral:rRNA from 1 species
CGGGGCAUCCCGGAGGCAGGAAAGGCUUCGGCCGGACAGGGAUGGGCAUGCGGCGCAUUAGGCAGUAGGCGGGGUAACGGCCCACCUAACCGACGAUGCGUAGGGGUUCUGAGAGGAAGGUCCCCCACACUGGUACUGAGACACGGACCAGACUCCUACGGGAGGCAGCAGUGAGGAAUAUUGGUCAAUGGUCGGGAGACUGAACCAGCCAAGCCGCGUGAGGGAGGAAGGUACAGAGUAUCGUAAACCUCUUUUGUCAGGGAACAAAGACUGGGACGCGUCCCCGGAUGAGUGUACCUGAAGAAAAAGCAUCGGCUAACUCCGUGCCAGCAGCCGCGGUAAUACGGAGGAUGCGAGCGUUAUCCGGAUUUAUUGGGUUUAAAGGGUGCGCAGGCGGUCUGUUAAGUCAGCGGUCAAAGCCCGGGGCUCAACCCCGGCCCGCCGUUGAAACUGGCAGUCUCGAGUUGGAGAGAAGUAUGCGGAAUGCGCGGUGUAGCGGUGAAAUGCAUAGAUAUCGCGCAGAACUCCGAUUGCGAAGGCAGCAUGCCGGCUCCACACUGACGCUGAGGCACGAAAGCGUGGGUAUCGAACAGGAUUAGAUACCCUGGUAGUCCACGCAGUAAACGAUGAAUGAAGGCUGUCCGGG